CCUACGGGAGGCAGCAGUGGGGGAUAUUGCACAAUGGGGGAAACCCUGAUGCAGCAACGCCGCGUGAGGGAAGAAGCUUUUCGGCUCGUAAACCUCUAUCCUCAGGGAAGAUAAUGACGGUAGCUGACGAGGAAGCCCCGGCUAACUACGUGCCAGCAGCCGCGGUAAUACGUAGGGAGCAAGCGUUGUCCGGAUUUACUGGGUGUAAAGGGUGCGCAGGCGGCCAUGCAAGCCAGAAGUGAAAUCCAGGGGCUCAACCCGGGGACUGCUCUUGGAACUGUAGGGCUGGAGUGCAGGAGGGGCAGGCGGAAUUCCUGGUGUAGCGGUGAAAUGCGUAGAGAUUAGGAGGAACACCAGUGGCGAAGGCGGCCUGCUGGACUGUAACUGACGUUGAGGCACGAAGGCGUGGGUAGCAAACAGGAUUAGAUACCCGAGUAGUC
rnacentral:rRNA from 1 species